rnacentral:rRNA from 1 species
AAUUCGAUGCAACGCGAAGAACCUUACCUGGCCUUGACAUAGUAGAGACUUUCCAGAGAUGGGUUGGUGCCUUCGGGAAUCUACAUACAGGUGCUGCAUGGCUGUCGUCAGCUCGUGUCGUGAGAUGUUGGGUUAAGUCCCGCAACGAGCGCAACCCUUUUCCUUACUUGCCAGCAUUUCGGAUGGGAACUUUAAGGAUACUGCCAGUGACAAACUGGAGGAAGGCGGGGACGACGUCAAGUCAUCAUGGCCCUUACGGCCAGGGCUACACACGUGCUACAAUGGUCGGUACAAAGGGUUGCUACACAGCGAUGUGAUGCUAAUCUCAAAAAGCCGAUCGUAGUCCGGAUCGCAGUCUGCAACUCGACUGCGUGAAGUCGGAAUCGCUAGUAAUCGCGGAUCAGAAUGCCGCGGUGAAUACGUUCCCGGGCCUUGUACACACCGCCCGUCACACCAUGGGAGUUUGUUGCACCAGAAGUAGGUAGUCUAACCGUAAGGAGGACGCUUACCACGGUGUGGCCGAUGACUGGGGUGAAGUCGUAACAAGGUAGCCGUAGGGGAACCUGCGGCUGGAUCAC